UAAAGCUCUGUUGUUAGGGAAGAACAAGUGCAAGAGUAACUGCUUGCACCUUGACGGUACCUAACCAGAAAGCCACGGCUAACUACGUGCCAGCAGCCGCGGUAAUACGUAGGUGGCAAGCGUUGUCCGGAAUUAUUGGGCGUAAAGGGCUCGCAGGCGGUUUCUUAAGUCUGAUGUGAAAGCCCCCGGCUCAACCGGGGAGGGUCAUUGGAAACUGGGAAACUUGAGUGCAGAAGAGGAGAGUGGAAUUCCACGUGUAGCGGUGAAAUGCGUAGAGAUGUGGAGGAACACCAGUGGCGAAGGCGACUCUCUGGUCUGUAACUGACGCUGAGGAGCGAAAGCGUGGGGAGCGAACAGGAUUAGAUACCCUGGUAGUCCACGCCGUAAACGAUGAGUGCUAAGUGUUAGGGGGUUUCCGCCCCUUAGUGCUGCAGCUAACGCAUUAAGCACUCCGCCUGGGGAGUACG
rnacentral:rRNA from 1 species